CCCCUUUUCCCGCCACUCUUUUACUUUUCUCUCCUGCUCCCCUCUGCCUGUAUACACUGUGCAAUGCAUCCGUCCAGUACACAAAGACACGCCCACUGUCUCAGUGUGUGACGCCAUCUCCUCUAGUGACUCAGUAUGUACUGUAAAGAAUGUGUACAUAGCACACUCUGCAUCCCCAGCCCCAACUUCCUCUUGCCUUACAGCUUCCUGCCACAUAGAGGUCCUUGCGUCGUUGUGUCAAACUUUAUAGUGUUAAACUACUUGUAGUCAAACCCCGCCCCCAUCUAUUCUCCAGCCAAUCCGCUGCCAAACCAUCCUGCCUCCCAUAUUUAAGCCAAUCAACAAUUCCAAACUCCGAAUCCCUCCCGGUUUUUUGUUUGUUUUAUUUAAUAUUUAAAAAAAAUAAGACAAAUGUAUGGUGUUGGUUUUUGAUGUUGUACCUUGUAACUGUAAAAAAGAAACCUCAUAGGUAUGAUAACAAUGAGAGCACGAUAGCAACGGAUGGACCAAAAUGUUUUGAUGUGGAAUUGAAAAAGGAAAUACAAAAUGGAGGACAUGGAGGAAGUUAAAAUUGAAAGUUUGACACGAGUGCUUUUAUGGAAUUAUAAAGAUAGACAGUAUAUUCAAGUACAAUCAGAAAAAAGAUCAUAAUCGGAUUCUGUUUGAAGUUGAAAGAGUUGAUACAAAUAUGUGAUAGAGUUCGGUAUUGCUACUAAAACACCCGAUCUAAGUGUUUAUGUUAACCUAAAGCUGACUGAAUGGGGAAAGGGAGAAAGCUGGAGCUCAGAAACCCCUCCAAGCGACACAAAGCUAAUUAGCCUAGCAACUCAUGAGUGGUAUUGAAGGACGUCCUCUGUGGAGCAAUCAAAAUGAAGGAUUACAUUGGCUUCAAAGGUGCCAAGGAAUACAAACACUUAUGAUGACGAGGAGAAUGGAGCGGGAAGCCAUUAUGAAGAGACUGACCAGGACGACGGUGACUACGAAGACGACAAUAGCAAUGACCAUAUGCUUUGUUUCUAUACGAUCAUGUAAAAACUAAACUGAAAACAAUAUGAUUUUUAUUUAUGUAUGUGAGAUACAAUACCAGGAGUUUUGUGUGUCCAGUCCUAACCUGCCCUCUCCUCUGUAUACACACAAACCCAGGCACACACAUUUUACUUUUUACACGAUCAAUGGGGACAUUUCUCUCACACAAACCUUGGGAAUAAGACAUUUGAUCUCUAUGACAUCGGUGAGGGUGGGGAAAAGGGGGCUCUGUUUUGAGUCGAAGACACCUUGGAUACAGCAGUUAAGGUUCCUAUAAAAUGGAAACAUACAAUUCCCCACAAUUGUAAGGACGUUGUAUUCCGUGCCACCUGUGAUGAUAGCAUUAUGGCACCUAAGACUGUGAACAGGAUAAUGUCCCUCCCUACUCUAACACAUCAUGAAGGGAACACAAGUACAGUUCCAAUAUUAGGUUCAAGUACUGCCUCUUUGGACCAUUGUACAUUUUAACAUUUUAACUACCACGGCUGGACAUUAAACGGUCAGAACGGGACAUCCCUUACAAAUAUGUUAGCAUUGGGAUUUUUUUAAAGAUCUGUCCAUUGUGUCGAGGUCUAUGGUACGUGUGGUGGCAGCGUAGAUACAUUUAUUUCCAUGUUUUAGAAAAAAAAUAAUCUUUCAUUUUUAUUGAGUUUUGUUAUUUAUUGUUUUUCAAAACUUUAUCAUGUCGUAUUUCAUCCAAUUCAAAAUUGCAACUGAAAAAUGUAUGUUGAACAUCUGUUUCCAUGGAUACAGCUUUUUUAAACGUCCUCAUAAUGACGAGAGACCAACCUUGCAAUCUAUGUCCAAAAAUGGAAAGAAAUGCCAAAUUUUUAUCUAGAAGUUACAUUUCCUGAACAAACAAUGUUAUAUGUAAACACCAUAGCAUGGACAUAGCAUUUUUGUGUUAAACGUUUGUACGGUAACAACAAUCUAGUUUUUUGUUAUAUUUUUGAUUUUCUUUUGGGGGAGUGGGUAUUAGUUUGUCCCUUACGCAUGUUGUGUGUAUACCAAUGUAAUGUGUGUGGAUGUUCGUACCACGCCCAAUUUAUUACAUGACUGACUCCACUUUGUAACCAUCACCACUUUAGUUUGGAGAAAGGUGAGAGAGAGAGCGCAAUCCCAAGGUCUGCUCAUCAUACAUAUUUCAAGCUACCAAUCCACGGCUAUGGCAUCGCUACCAGUUCACGCUCUGUUACGUACAUUUUCAACACCGAUGUGACGCACUUGGUCUCUGGUGCGGUCUUUGAACUAGAUACAAACUAGCGCCAUGGUAAUUUUGCAAGCAUGUGGGGCUUUUAGCUAGCAUGGAGAGACUUUAGUAAUUAACUAUUAUUGCUGAGCAUGGUUCUGAAGAUCUGUCAUGUGUACAAUUCUUGGCACUAGAGUUCUGGAACUCGCCAGUCAGGAUCUGUCUGUAGAGAUUUGAGCUCCAAGUGCUAGCAUAGCCAACCAGAUACAAUAUUUGUUUACUAUCAUUUAGUAAGCUAUAGUUUUUAACUAAAACACACACUAAGCAAUAUUGUGUUCCAUCCCAUGGGGAUGGGUAACAGAGACUGAACAUCAUACACAUUACUCAAGCUUCACACAAUGUCAACGUUUUUCCACCAAUAGGAAACCACAACCAGACAUGAAGAGGCUUGCUGAGAUUAAAACUCUGUGCUAUUUUAAGGAAUCACUACGGGGGCUCAGUACAUGCCCUGAUGAGUGUGCACAUACAUGCCAGCACAUCUCACUCCGGCCCAGUGAGAAGAAAUGGAAACCAUAUCUGUAACCAUUUUCUUUUUUCCUCCUGUUGCUUAGCGACCAUUUGUCUCAACAAGCCAUUAUCUUUUUGACUGUUGAGGGUGCAUGUGUGUGUUUGUGUGUGCGUAUGAGCGCUAUGUUGUUUUAGCACUAUUUAACUUUGACGUUAAUGUGUCCCUUCUCGCUGAAUGACUCUAUACUGCAUAUGCUUCGAUUUGACUCAUAAUAUGUGUGUGUAGGUUUGUCUUUUGUCUAUGCAUGCCCUCUGUGCAUUUGCAUGUCCAAGUGUGUAUGUUUGUGUUUGUGUGUGUGUAUGUAUGCUUUAAUCUGCUCAUAAGGGCUAACUCAAUGUCCUUGGAUAAGUCCCAUAUACUGACACAUGAGAGAGGGGGUGUCUGUGUAUUACUAUUCAUUUUGCAUUGUGCAUCGUGCACAAGUGUGCACUGUGUGCGAUGGUUGUGCAUACAACAGUUCAGUACUGCGCAUCGAUGGCUGUGUUAUUUUGAGCAUCUUCUGUAAUGUCCUAUACACACAAACACACACACACAUUAUAUAGAUCCUAUAAUUGAGUUGACUCUAGGCUCCUCUCCUUUCUGUUGACCUCCUCCUCGUUCCCUCUCCACACCGUCCCUCCCUCCGUCUCACUCGCUCUCUCGACGCUCCACGCCGCAGUCGUCCCAUCGCAGUGCUUCAUCGUUCAUCCCACCGUCCAAUGUGUGUGUCUCGUUCUUUUUCGCGUCAUAUCAUGCAAGCCCUUUUUAGAAGAGGUUAGACACCUUCACAAAGUGCUUUUUUGAUAUUGAUUAAUGGUGUUAUAUUGUCUUCAUUAUUUCAAUUGUCUUUUUACUAUUAUUUUGUUUGUAUUAGGUUGUGUCAUUUUGUUUUUAUUUCUGUGAUGUCUCAGUUAUGUUUAAAGUAAGCCCUCAGAGAGAGUAUAAGUAGGUAAAGUAGAUUAUUUAUGAAUUAUGAUAUAAAAAUGGUUCUCGCAUCCACAUUUUUCUAUGUACCUCAGUGUAUGUGCGCGCGCGUGCGUGUGUUCGUACCACUCCAUCCCAUCCAUUGUGUCGAUGCAUGAAACUUACAAAAAAAACUCAUCUUGGAUACAGUGUUGACCUUGGAAAAAUGUGUUGUAGAAGAGACUACAGUAUUUUUAAAAGCGUGGAGAUGAAAUUGAAAUGACAAAAAAAGAUAUAGAUGUUUACGAUGACCAAACUUUUUUCUGUCGUUCUCUUAAAUGAAAUAAAAAAGUUGACUGGGAAAAGCAUA
ensembl:lncRNA